rnacentral:tRNA from 1 species
AGUGAGGUGCCUGAAUAAAGGAUUAUUUUGAUAGAAUAAAUUAUGUGUUUUAUACCCUUACUG